CCUCACACAGGGCUGAGGUCUCUGGGAAGGCAGAGCUGUGGUCUAGAAGAAGAUGAGACUGCUAAGUCUUCUCCUGUGCCUGGUGACAGUCCCCCAAGGUGUCCUGUCCCAGGUGCAGCUGCAGGAGUUGGGCCCAAGACUGGUGAAGCCCUCGCAGACCCGCUCCCUCAGCUGCACAGUCUCUGGAUUCUCUAUCACAACCAGUGGUUAUGACUGGAACUGGAUACGCCAGCCCCCGGGAAAGGGGCUGGAAUGGAUAGGGCGCAUAAAUUUUGAUGGAAACAUUUAUUACAGCCCCUCCCUCAAGAGCCGAAUCUCCAUCUCCAGAGACACGUCCAAGAACCAGUUCUUCAUGAAGCUCAGCUCCGUGAUAAUGGAGGACACGGCCAUGUAUUACUGUGUGAGAGAGACACAGUGA